AUCCAUCUGACGAGUGACAAAGAGGACGAAACGCAUGUCUUGGAU
rfam:Schistosoma mattheei strain Denwood, Zambia genome assembly, scaffold: SMTD_scaffold0000715